rnacentral:rRNA from 1 species
UCCAGACUCCUACGGGAGGCAGCAGUGAGGAAUAUUGGUCAAUGGGCGGGAGCCUGAACCAGCCAAGCCGCGUGAGGGAAGAAGGUACAGCGUAUCGUAAACCUCUUUUGUCAGGGAACAAAGGCGGGGACUAGUCCCCGGAUGAGGGUACCUGAAGAAAAAGCAUCGGCUAACUCCGUGCCAGCAGCCGCGGUAAUACGUAGGGAGCAAGCGUUAUCCGGAUUUACUGGGUGUAAAGGGCGCGUAGGCGGGAUGGCAAGUCAGAUGUGAAAUCCAAGGGCUCAACCCUUGAACUGCAUUUGAAACUGUCGUUCUUGAGUACUGGAGAGGUUGACGGAAUUCCUAGUGUAGCGGUGAAAUGCGUAGAUAUUAGGAGGAACACCAGUGGCGAAGGCGGUCAACUGGACAGCAACUGACGCUGAGGCGCGAAAGCGUGGGGAGCAAACAGGAUUAGAUACCCUGGUAUC